rnacentral:rRNA from 1 species
UACAGAGGUCUCAAGCGUUUGUUCGGAUUCAUUGGGCGUAAAGGGUGCGUAGGCGGCGCGGUAAGUCGGGUGUGAAAUCUUGGAGCUUAACUCCGAAACUGCAUUCGAUACUGCCGUGCUUGAGGACUGGAGAGGAGACUGGAAUUUACGGUGUAGCGGUGAAAUGCGUAGAUAUCGUAAGGAAGACCAGUGGCGAAGGCGGGUCUCUGGACAGUUCCUGACGCUGAGGCACGGAAGGUCAGGGGAGCAAACGGG